AUUGAACGCUGGCGGCAGGCCUAACACAUGCAAGUCGAACGGUAACAGAAAGCAGCUUGCUGCUUUGCUGACGAGUGGCGGACGGGUGAGUAAUGUCUGGGAAACUGCCCGAUGGAGGGGGAUAACUACUGGAAACGGUAGCUAAUACCGCAUAACGUCGCAAGACCAAAGAGGGGGACCUUCGGGUCUCUUGCCAUCGGAUGUGCCCAGAUGGGAUUAGCUAGUAGGUGGGGUAAAGGCUCACCUAGGCGACGAUCCCUAGCUGGUCUGAGAGGAUGACCAGCCACACUGGAACUGAGACACGGUCCAGACUCCUACGGGAGGCAGCAGUGGGGAACAUUGCACAAUGGGCGCAAGCCUGAUGCAGCCAUGCCGCGUGUAUGAAGAAGGCCUUCGGGUUGUAAAGUACUUUCAGCGGGGAGGAAGGGAGUAAAGUUAAUACCUUUGCUCAUUGACGUUACCCGCAGAAGAAGCACCGGCUAACUCCGUGCCAGCAGCCGCGGUAGUACGGAGGGUGCAAGCGUUAAUCGGAAUUACUGGGCGUAAAGCGCACGCAGGCGGUUUGUUAAGUCAGAUGUGAAAUCCCCGGGCUCAACCUGGGAACUGCAUCUGAUACUGGCAAGCUUGAGUCUCGUAGAGGGGGGUAGAAUUCCAGGUGUAGCGGUGAAAUGCGUAGAGAUCUGGAGGAAUACCGGUGGCGAAGGCGGCCCCCUGGACGAAGACUGACGCUCAGGUGCGAAAGCGUGGGGAGCAAACAGGAUUAGAUACCCUGGUAGUCCACGCCGUAAACGAUGUCGACUUGGAGGUUGUGCCCUUGAGGCGUGGCUUCCGGAGCUAACGCGUUAAGUCGACCGCCUGGGGAGUACGGCCGCAAGGUUAAAACUCAAAUGAAUUGACGGGGGCCCGCACAAGCGGUGGAGCAUGUGGUUUAAUUCGAUGCAACGCGAAGAACCUUACCUGGUCUUGACAUCCACGGAAGUUUUCAGAGAUGAGAGUGUGCCUUCGGGAACCGUGAGACAGGUGCUGCAUGGCUGUCGUCAGCUCGUGUUGUGAAAUGUUGGGUUAAGUCCCGCAACGAGCGCAACCCUUAUCCUUUGUUGCCAGCGGUCCGGCCGGGAACUCAAAGGAGACUGCCAGUGAUAAACUGGAGGAAGGUGGGGAUGACGUCAAGUCAUCAUGGCCCUUACGACCAGGGCUACACACGUGCUACAAUGGCGCAUACAAAGAGAAGCGACCUCGCGAGAGCAAGCGGACCUCAUAAAGUGCGUCGUAGUCCGGAUUGGAGUCUGCAACUCGACUCCAUGAAGUCGGAAUCGCUAGUAAUCGUGGAUCAGAAUGCCACGGUGAAUACGUUCCCGGGCCU
rnacentral:rRNA from 1 species